CCGUGAAGAUUGAGCUUAUGCUGUGAAGAUUAAGCCUUUGUCGUGAAGAUUGAACCUCGCCGUGAAGAUUGAGCUUUUGCUGUGAAGAUUGAGCUUAUGCCGUGAAGAUUGCGCUUAUGCCGUGAAGAUCAAAUCUUUGCCGUGAAGAUUGGACCUUGCCGUGAAGAUUGAGCUUUUGCCGUGAAGAUUGAGCUUAUGCUGUGAAGAUUAAGCCUUUGUCGUGAAGAUUGAACCUCGCCGUGAAGAUUGAGCUUUUGCUGUGAAGAUUGAGCUUAUGUCGUGAAGAUUAAGCCUUUGCCGUGAAGAUUGAGCUUAUGCCUUGAAGAUUGAGCUUUUGCUGUGAAGAUUGAGCUUAUGUCGUGAAGAUUAAGCCUUUGCCGUGAAGAUUGAGCUUUUGCCGUGAAGAUUGAGCUUUUGCCGUGAAGAUUGAGCUUAUGCCGUGAAGAUUAAGCCUUUGCCGUGAAGAUUGAGCUUUUGCCGUGAACAGCUUGUGUUGCAUGUCCAGCUUUCCUGUGCGCCUCUUGUGUGCGAUUUGUGUAGGUGACGGUUGGCUGUUGAUGCCCUUAGUGCCCACACCUCCAUGAGGCAGACACAGCCUGUUGCAGACGGAGGUUAAGAGGGAUACAUUGAGGUGCAGCUGUGGUCGUUUCGGCUUUGUAAUCCUGCCAGACUACACUUCAAGUUUUGCACUAAGCCAUCUGCAUUUGUGGUGCCUUACGACUUUCGUGAGAGUGCCUGGAAGAUCGUUUGCCUGUUCUGACUACCAUGUGAUGUUUAUUAGUUGCCUUUGCCCCACUAUGCGAUUCCCUGCAUGAUAUCCUCGACGUCUCCCACAGGGUGUUGAGUCGGUGGCGGGCCAAAGGUGUCAGCGCCAGAGGGAUACUGGUCUGAGACAGGGGUUGCUUGUUUGUGCAUGCUAUGCUAUGAUAUGUAUGCAUUUGCUUGCUGUGUUGUGUAGCAUUGUUUGGUGGUGGGGGUGGUGGUAGUUCCUUAAUACGCAUGCCUCACUUGGACUUAGACUUUUAGUAUGAUACCAUAUGGGCUUCAGACCAGACCUUCAGGCCCCACACCUUCAGGCCCCACAGAUGUGGCUGCAGACACUCUGUGUGUAUGCCCUAUGGCCUUCGGGCUUUGGGUUUGCCGACACUGUAAAAAUAAUAAAUAAUAAAAUCAGAUGAUGGUUCAUAGUGUCACUUUCUCUAUGAAAUACAUGUA
rnacentral:lncRNA from 1 species